UUGCGUCUACUCCACGAAAUAGGCCCAGUCCGCUAAAUUUAAGGAGGAAACGUCCGUCUGACUCACGGUGCGGCAGUGUGGAGACCUGUCGUAAUGCUCCCGGAAGUUCGCUUUCCGGGUAUGCGAGAGCACACGCGAAAGGCUCGGUGUGUUCUGAGUCAAAAACAGUAUGGCA
rnacentral:ncRNA from 1 species